rnacentral:rRNA from 1 species
AUUGAACGCUGGCGGCAUGCCUUACACAUGCAAGUCGAACGGCAGCAUGAUCUAGCUUGCUCGAUUGAUGGCGAGUGGCGCACGGGUGAGUAAUACAUCGGAACGUGCCCUGUAGUGGGGGAUAACUAGUCGAAAGAUUAGCUAAUACCGCAUACGACCUGAGGGUGAAAGUGGGGGACCGCAAGGCCUCAUGCUAUAGGAGCGGCCGAUGUCUGAUUAGCUAGUUGGUGAGGUAAAGGCUCACCAAGGCGACGAUCAGUAGCUGGUCUGAGAGGACGAUCAGCCACACUGGGACUGAGACACGGCCCAGACUCCUACGGGAGGCAGCAGUGGGGAAUUUUGGACAAUGGGCGAAAGCCUGAUCCAGCAAUGCCGCGUGUGUGAAGAAGGCCUUCGGGUUGUAAAGCACUUUUGUCCGGAAAGAAAUGGCUCUGGUUAAUACCUGGGGUCGAUGACGGUACCGGAAGAAUAAGGACCGGCUAACUACGUG